rnacentral:rRNA from 1 species
UACAUUAGCAUGGGAUAAUGGAAUAGGACCCUGACCUCCUAUUUUCAGUUGGUUUUGUUUACAGCGAGGUUAUAUCAGGGUAAUGAUUAAUAGGGAUAGUUGGGGGCAUUAAUAUUUAAUUGUCAGAGGUGAAAUUCUUGGAUUUAUGAAAGAUUAACUUCUGCGAAAGCGUUUGCCAAGGAUGUUUUCAUUAAUCAAGAACGAAAGUUAGGGGAUCGAAGACGAUCAGAUACCGUCGUAGUCUUAACCAUAAACGAUGCCGACCAGCGAUUAGGAGACGUUGAAUACAAAACACCGCUGUUAAUCCUUUCGGGGGUUAAUAGUUGGUGAAUGACUCCCUAGCAGCUUGUGAGA